rnacentral:rRNA from 1 species
GGGUUGUGAGGUUAAGCGACUAAGCGUACACGGUGGAUGCCCUGGCAGUCAGAGGCGAUGAAGGACGUGCUAAUCUGCGAUAAGCGUCGGUGAGGUGAUAUGAACCGUUAUAACCGGCGAUUUCCGAAUGGGGAAACCCAGUGUGUUUCGACACACUAUCAUUAACUGAAUCCAUAGGUUAAUGAGGCGAACCGGGGGAACUGAAACAUCUAAGUACCCCGAGGAAAAGAAAUCAACCGAGAUUCCCCCAGUAGCGGCGAGCGAACGGGGAGGAGCCCAGAGCCUGAAUCAGUGUGUGUGUUAGUGGAAGCGUCUGGAAAGGCGCGCGAUACAGGGUGACAGCCCCGUACACAAAAAUGCACAUAUUGUGAGCUCGAUGAGUAGGGCGGGACACGUGGUAUCCUGUCUGAAUAUGGGGGGACCAUCCUCCAAGGCUAAAUACUCCUGACUGACCGAUAGUGAACCAGUACCGUGAGGGAAAGGCGAAAAGAACCCCGGCGAGGGGAGUGAAAAAGAACCUGAAACCGUGUACGUACAAGCAGUGGGAGCCUCUUAAUGGGGUGACUGCGUACCUUUUGUAUAAUGGGUCAGCGACUUAUAUUCUGUAGCAAGGUUAACCGAAUAGGGGAGCCGAAGGGAAACCGAGUCUUAACUGGGCGUUAAGUUGCAGGGUAUAGACCCGAAACCCGGUGAUCUAGCCAUGGGCAGGUUGAAGGUUGGGUAACACUAACUGGAGGACCGAACCGACUAAUGUUGAAAAAUUAGCGGAUGACUUGUGGCUGGGGGUGAAAGGCCAAUCAAACCGGGAGAUAGCUGGUUCUCCCCGAAAGCUAUUUAGGUAGCGCCUCGUGAAUUCAUCUCCGGGGGUAGAGCACUGUUUCGGCAAGGGGGUCAUCCCGACUUACCAACCCGAUGCAAACUGCGAAUACCGGAGAAUGUUAUCACGGGAGACACACGGCGGGUGCUAACGUCCGUCGUGAAGAGGGAAACAACCCAGACCGCCAGCUAAGGUCCCAAAGUCAUGGUUAAGUGGGAAACGAUGUGGGAAGGCCCAGACAGCCAGGAUGUUGGCUUAGAAGCAGCCAUCAUUUAAAGAAAGCGUAAUAGCUCACUGGUCGAGUCGGCCUGCGCGGAAGAUGUAACGGGGCUAAACCAUGCACCGAAGCUGCGGCAGCGACGCUUAUGCGUUGUUGGGUAGGGGAGCGUUCUGUAAGCCUGUGAAGGUGGCCUGUGAGGGUUGCUGGAGGUAUCAGAAGUGCGAAUGCUGACAUAAGUAACGAUAAAGCGGGUGAAAAGCCCGCUCGCCGGAAGACCAAGGGUUCCUGUCCAACGUUAAUCGGGGCAGGGUGAGUCGACUCCUAAGGCGAGGCCGAAAGGCGUAGUCGAUGGGAAACAGGUUAAUAUUCCUGUACUUGGUGUUACUGCGAAGGGGGGACGGAGAAGGCUAUGUUGGCCGGGCGACGGUUGUCCCGGUUUAAGCGUGUAGGCUGGUUUUCCAGGCAAAUCCGGAAAACCAAGGCUGAGGCGUGAUGACGAGGCACUACGGUGCUGAAGUGACAAAUGCCCUGCUUCCAGGAAAAGCCUCUAAGCAUCAGGUAACAUCAAAUCGUACCCCAAACCGACACAGGUGGUCAGGUAGAGAAUACCAAGGCGCUUGAGAGAACUCGGGUGAAGGAACUAGGCAAAAUGGUGCCGUAACUUCGGGAGAAGGCACGCUGAUAUGUAGGUGAAGCGACUUGCUCGUGGAGCUGAAAUCAGUCGAAGAUACCAGCUGGCUGCAACUGUUUAUUAAAAACACAGCACUGUGCAAACACGAAAGUGGACGUAUACGGUGUGACGCCUGCCCGGUGCCGGAAGGUUAAUUGAUGGGGUUAGCGGUAACGCGAAGCUCUUGAUCGAAGCCCCGGUAAACGGCGGCCGUAACUAUAACGGUCCUAAGGUAGCGAAAUUCCUUGUCGGGUAAGUUCCGACCUGCACGAAUGGCGUAAUGAUGGCCAGGCUGUCUCCACCCGAGACUCAGUGAAAUUGAACUCGCUGUGAAGAUGCAGUGUACCCGCGGCAAGACGGAAAGACCCCGUGAACCUUUACUAUAGCUUGACACUGAACAUUGAGCCUUGAUGUGUAGGAUAGGUGGGAGGCUUUGAAGUGUGGACGCCAGUCUGCAUGGAGCCGACCUUGAAAUACCACCCUUUAAUGUUUGAUGUUCUAACGUUGGCCCCUGAUCGGGGUUGCGGACAGUGUCUGGUGGGUAGUUUGACUGGGGCGGUCUCCUCCUAAAGAGUAACGGAGGAGCACGAAGGUUGGCUAAUCCUGGUCGGACAUCAGGAGGUUAGUGCAAUGGCAUAAGCCAGCUUGACUGCGAGCGUGACGGCGCGAGCAGGUGCGAAAGCAGGUCAUAGUGAUCCGGUGGUUCUGAAUGGAAGGGCCAUCGCUCAACGGAUAAAAGGUACUCCGGGGAUAACAGGCUGAUACCGCCCAAGAGUUCAUAUCGACGGCGGUGUUUGGCACCUCGAUGUCGGCUCAUCACAUCCUGGGGCUGAAGUAGGUCCCAAGGGUAUGGCUGUUCGCCAUUUAAAGUGGUACGCGAGCUGGGUUUAGAACGUCGUGAGACAGUUCGGUCCCUAUCUGCCGUGGGCGCUGGAGAACUGAGGGGGGCUGCUCCUAGUACGAGAGGACCGGAGUGGACGCAUCACUGGUGUUCGGGUUGUCAUGCCAAUGGCACUGCCCGGUAGCUAAAUGCGGAAGAGAUAAGUGCUGAAAGCAUCUAAGCACGAAACUUGCCCCGAGAUGAGUUCUCCCUGAGACUUAGAGUCUCCUGAAGGAACGUUGAAGACGACGACGUUGAUAGGCCGGGUGUGUAAGCGCAGCGAUGCGUUGAGCUAACCGGUACUAAUGAACCGUGAGG